UUGUGAGGCGUUGAGCUAACCUGUACUAAUUGCCCGUGAGGCUUAACCAUACAACACCCAAGGGGUUUUGUA
rnacentral:rRNA from 1 species